CGGGAUUAGAUACCCCGGUAGUCCACGCCGUAAACGAUGGAUACUAGCUGUUGGAGGUAUCGACCCCUCCAGUAGCGAAGCUAACGCGUUAAGUAUCCCGCCUGUGGAGUACGGUCGCAAGACUAAAACAUAAAGGAAUUGACGGGGACCCGCACAAGCGGUGGAUUGUGUUCUUUAAUUCGAUGAUAAACGAUGAACCUUACCAGGGCUUGACAUCCCGAGAAUUUUGCCGAAAGGCGAGAGUGCUUUUAGAACUCGGUGACAGAUCUUGCAUGGCCGUCGUCAGCUCGUGUCGUGAGAUGUUUGGUUAAGUCCAUCAACGAGCGCAACCCUUGUGAAUAGUUGGAUUUUUCUAUUCAGACUGCCCCGGCAACGGGGAGGAAGGAGGGGAUGAUGUCAGGUCAGUAUUAGUCUUACGUCCUGGGCUAGAAACGCAAUACAAUGGCAAGUACAAUGCGCAGCGAAGCCGCGAGGUGGAGCAAAUCGCAUCAAAGCUUGUCCCAGUUCGGAUAAGAGGCUGAAACUCGCCUCUUUGAAGUCGGAAUCGCUAGUAAUCGCAGAUCAGCAAGCUGCGGUGAAUACGUUCCCGGGUCUUGUACACACCGCCCGUCAAACCAUGAAAGUGACCAACACCCGAAGUCCGAUUCGUCGGCCUAAGGUGGGGGGCAUGAUUGGGGUUAAGUCGUAACAAGGUAUCCGUACCGGAAGGUGCGGAUG
rnacentral:rRNA from 1 species